UGGGGAAUAUUGGACAAUGGGCGCAAGCCUGAUCCAGCAAUGCCGCGUGUGUGAAGAAGGCCUUCGGGUUGUAAAGCACUUUUAUCAGGAGCGAAACGCUGUCGGCUAAUACCCGGCGGAACUGACGGUACCUGAGGAAUAAGCACCGGCUAACUUCGUGCCAGCAGCCGCGGUAAUACGAAGGGUGCAAGCGUUAAUCGGAAUUACUGGGCGUAAAGCGUGCGUAGGCGGUUUCUUAAGUCUGCUGUGAAGUCCCCGGGCUCAACCUGGGAAUGGCAGUGGAUACUGGGAGGCUAGAGUGUGUCAGAGGGUGGUGGAAUUCCCGGUGUAGCGGUGAAAUGCGUAGAGAUCGGGAGGAACAUCAGUGGCGAAGGCGGCCACCUGGGACAACACUGACGCUGAGGCACGAAAGCGUGGGGAGCAAACAGGAUUAGAUACCCUGGUAGUCCACGCCCUAAACGAUGCGAACUGGAUGUUGGCCUCAACUCGGAGAUCAGUGUCGAAGCUAACGCGUUAAGUUCGCCGCCUGGGGAGUACGGUCGCAAGACUGAAACUC
rnacentral:rRNA from 1 species